rnacentral:rRNA from 1 species
GAUGAACGCUGGCGGCGUGCUUAACACAUGCAAGUCGAACGAUGAAGCCCAGCUUGCUGGGUGGAUUAGUGGCGAACGGGUGAGUAACACGUGAGUAACCUGCCCUUGACUCUGGGAUAAGCCUGGGAAACUGGGUCUAAUACUGGAUAUGACUUCUCAUCGCAUGGUGGGGGGUGGAAAGAUUUAUUGGUCUUGGAUGGACUCGCGGCCUAUCAGCUUGUUGGUGAGGUAAUGGCUCACCAAGGCGACGACGGGUAGCCGGCCUGAGAGGGUGACCGGCCACACUGGGACUGAGACACGGCCCAGACUCCUACGGGAGGCAGCAGUGGGGAAUAUUGCGCAAUGGGCGCAAGCCUGAUGCAGCGACGCCGCGUGAGGGAUGACGGCCUUCGGGUUGUAAACCUCUUUCAGUAGGGAAGAAGCGAGAGUGACGGUACCUGCAGAAGAAGCGCCGGCUAACUACGUG